AUUGAACGCUGGCGGCAUGCCUUACACAUGCAAGUCGAACGGUAACGGGCCUUCGGGUGCCGACGAGUGGCGAACGGGUGAGUAAUACAUCGGAACGUGCCCGAUCGUGGGGGUUAACGGGGCGAAAGCUUUGCUAAUACCCCAUACGACCUACGGAUGAAAGCGGGGGACCGCAAGGCCUUGCGCGGACGGGGCGGCCGAUGGCAGAUUAGGUAGUUGGUGGGAUAAAAGCUUACCAAGCCGACGAUCUGUAGCUGGUCUGAGAGGAUGAUCAGCCACACUGGGACUGAGACACGGCCCAGACUCCUACGGGAGGCAGCAGUGGGGAAUUUUGGACAAUGGGCGCAAGCCUGAUCCAGCCAUGCCGCGUGCAGGAUGAAGGCCUUCGGGUUGUAAACUGCUUUUGUACGGAACGAAAAGCCUUCUUUUAAUACAGGAGGGUCAUGACGGUACCGUAAGAAUAAGCACCGGCUAACUACGUG
rnacentral:rRNA from 1 species